UUUUUUUUUUUUUUUUUUUUAAGACAGGGUCUCCCUAUGUCACCCAGGCUGGAGUGCAAUGGCAUGAUCUCAGCUCACUGCAGUCUCGACCUCACAGGCUCAAGCAAUUCUCCCACCUCAGUCUCCUGAGUAGCUUGUACUACGGUCAGGGGCCACCACACGCAGCUAAUUUUUGUAUGUUUUUGUAGAGCUGGGGUUUUGCCAUGUUCUCUAGUCUAGUCUUGAAUUCCUGAGCUCAAGCAAUCUGCUGCCUCAGCCACCCAAAGUGCUGUGACUACAGGUGUACAGCAUCAUGCCCAGCCCCGAAUAAUUAACUGAUGUGUAUCUCAAGGCACUCUAAAAGUUGCUUGAGUAGAAUGGGGCAUCUGUCUGUAGUUGGUUACCCUGGGACAUGGGCACACUCCCCUGGGACAUCAUUGAUUCUUUCCAAAGAGAAAGCCAGCAGAUGAAAGAAAUAAGGGUUUUGUCUCCUGGAGUCUGGGAAACUCUCAGGUUUACCUUGUAUCUCCAAACCUAGCACACACCUGGUACAUGGCAAUGGUAUAUGCUCAAUAGAAAUGUUUGAGGAAGGGAAGGAGCGGGAGAAAGGUAAGGUGGAAAAAAGGAAGGAAAAAAGCUUCCAUAAGCUCUACAGUGUAUAUUGCUACAACCUUCCUAACUCCAAAGGGAAGAAGCAGACUCACUGUAUCCUGAAACACUGGUAAAACACCCGCUUCAGAAAAAAGUAACAACAAUCAAGUAACUAUUGAAGAUUGAUUUGACCUAACAGUGUAGAAACAGGAGAAUUACAUAAGGCCAGCUGUAGCAUAGGGCCUGAUCUUAAUGUUUUAGAGCUGGAGAGGCCUGGAGUCACUCAAGAGGCAUCCAAGUGGAAUGUGAAAUGACUUACCCACAGUCACAUAGCUUGUUAGUAUUAGAACACAAACUAACACCCAGGUCUCAAAAAUGCUGGGGCCCAGCAUUUUUCAUUCUGCAGUUUUCUAUAUAGAACAGAAGCGAUAGCUGUUCUUGAAACCUAUCCCUUCCUGUUUCCUGACCCAAGUCACUUCAUAUGUCCUUCCCCAGAGACCCUGCUAACCUUAAGCCCUUUGCCUGGUACCACAGAACUUUGUACAACUUGCUGGGGGGAAACAGCCCAUGCUUACAGGCCAUUUAUAGAAUGCAGGCUUAUAGAACAUGAUCAAUAGGCAUGAUUAAGGAAAUAGGAAUUAUUCUAAUAACUGGAACACUGGCUCAAUGAUAUCUUUAUGACCAUUUAUUAGUUGUAGCCACUGUUUUUCAUACCUAAGGGAAAGCUACAGUGUAAGCUCCAUGGGGGCAGGAACCAUGUCUGUCUUGCUUCUAAGUCUCUACAGUAUCCAGUAGUUACUUAACUAUUAGUUGUAUUAUUAAACAUGACCACCAGUUCCAUAUUUCAUAAUUCCAAGCAUGUUCCAUGAUGGCUUUAUCUACAAAUAACCAGCAAUGUCAUCCUUUAGCCAAAUAUUUUUGAAGGGCCCAGCUCUACCUUGUGUUUCCAAUAAUCUAAUGAACUCAACACAGAGUCUGACCACCAGGCCCAUAGGCAAAGAGUUCAAGUUCCAUUUGACUUGAACUACUCUGUGAGCAAUGACUGUCACCCGCAAGUGAACGAAGACUCCCUAAGGGCUCACAUUAUAGAAAUGGAAGAUAGAUAGUCUGCCAGUGUCUUUAUUAUCAAAGCCCUAGAGUGCAAAGAAGAGACAUGUAGGGUAAUGAAUUGGUGUCUCCCUCAGACCACUACUUGUUCAAUCUUUAUUAGAGGAA
rnacentral:lncRNA from 1 species